ACGAACGCUGGCGGCGUGCUUAACACAUGCAAGUCGAACGGAAAGGCCCUGCUUUUGUGGGGUGCUCGAGUGGCGAACGGGUGAGUAACACGUGAGUAACCUGCCCUUGACUUUGGGAUAACUUCAGGAAACUGGGGCUAAUACCGGAUAGGAGCUCCUGCUGCAUGGUGGGGGUUGGAAAGUUUCGGCGGCUGGGGAUGGACUCGCGGCCUAUCAGCUUGUUGGUGGGGUAGUGGCUUACCAAGGCUUUGACGGGUAGCCGGCCUGAGAGGGUGACCGGCCACAUUGGGACUGAGAUACGGCCCAGACUCCUACGGGAGGCAGCAGUGGGGAAUAUUGCACAAUGGGCGGAAGCCUGAUGCAGCAACGCCGCGUGCGGGAUGACGGCCUUCGGGUUGUAAACCGCUUUCGCCUGUGACGAAGCGUGAGUGACGGUAAUGGGUAAAGAAGCACCGGCUAACUACGUG
rnacentral:rRNA from 1 species